rnacentral:piRNA from 1 species
UUAGCCACUAUGAAGAGGGAGAAGGGGA